GUAGUCCUCAUGUUGGCCUUGGACUC
rnacentral:piRNA from 1 species